rnacentral:rRNA from 1 species
AGGACGAACGCUGGCGGCGUGCUUAACACAUGCAAGUCGAGCGGUAAGGCCCUUUCGGGGGUACACGAGCGGCGAACGGGUGAGUAACACGUGGGUGACCUGCCCUCAGCUCUGGGAUAAGCCUGGGAAACCGGGUCUAAUACUGGAUAUGACUCCAUGACGCAUGUUGUGGGGUGGAAAGCCUUGUGCGGCUGAGGAUGGGCCCGCGGCCUAUCAGCUUGUUGGUGGGGUGANGGCCUACCAAGGCGACGACGGGUAGCCGGCCUGAGAGGACGUCCGGCCAGACUGGGACUGAGACACGGCCCAGACUCCUACGGGAGGCAGCAGUUCAGAAUAUUGCGCAAUGGGGGAAACCCUGACGCAGCGACGCCGCGUGGAGGAUGAAGGCCU